GUGUCGAGGACGCUUUCCAGCAGGAAACGAAGAUUAGCAUCGACACAUUUAUCCGGUGCUUCGGUAUAAUAUACUACAGGAAUACCGACCAAGUGCAUCUCCAUGCCAUGCAUCCCCACUCACGUGGACGUGGAUGGAUGGAUCAAUUGCUAUUACGUGUAGCAAGUUGCAGUAGAGUUCAUUAUCUGCAUUGACAUCCUAUAAUUUCAUUGAUGGUCUGAUAAUGUGUCUGACUAUAAAGCAACGAAGACAUUUCAUCGAUGAACGAACAAUAGCAAUUAUCAGUUUUUCAACAAAUGUUUCUUUUUCACAUGACAAUUUUAUCAAGGAAAAACUAAUCUUUCUUACAUUUCCUAUGGAAUCAUUGGAAGAUCAUUUAAUGUGCAGCAGUUUUAUUGAACAUAAUUGCGCAUUAAGUAUUCUCACCGAAUGAUACUAAAUUAUGUCCAUGCUUCCACCGCAAGUCUUAAAAGAGAUAAAUGAGGGGAGGACAUUGUACUCUCUGAGACCGAAUCACGUAAUGGCGUAAUUUCCUUUAAUAAUUCACAGGAUUGCAUGCUAUACGGUAGAAACGUAUGUCUUUCUUGCAAAUAAUUUCUAAGAACACGUACCAGCAAACCAAGAACAUUCUUUAAAAAUUGAAUGUAACGGGAGAGCUUAGUUGUGAAAAGUAUCGUGGCAUAAAAGAUGCACUCUUUAACAACAGAUGUGAAACCUUCUAAAGUCAGAUCCAUGACUUUUCCAGCUGUGAUCGUCAAACGUUUCUGAGAUCUGAUAAUUAUCAAUAAUAAAAUUCGGCAUUCUUUGGUAGAUAAAUCGUACCAAAGUGUUUCAUAUGCAGCAUCGCCAAUAGAUUUACUCUGAAGAAGAAAGAAGUGUUAUAGAUUAAAAUAUUAUACGAUAUUACAAGUUAAACACAUUAUAAUAACAUUUAUAUAAAUAAAAUAAUAGAAGAUACUCGACUGCAGAAGCUUUUAAUGGCAAGAGAAUUAUGCCAACCUUAGAGCUCAAAUACUCGCCGGCAAAGCAGAAAAC